CAGAACAAACACAGGAGGGAAUCCUUAAUGCUCACUACACUGGUUAUUCCAUAUGCUUUCUCUGUUACCAAAAUAUCCACGUGUGACCUUUUUCUGAGUCUUGGGAGGGGGCUGAGCUAUCUGCUCAGCGGUGCUGGGAAAAGAUAUCCCAGAGGGAAGGUCACAUGUGGUCACAUCGGAGUGUGGGACACAGUUCUGCCUCUGUGGUAGGUUCCUAAUAGGACUUUGGGCAGGUUAAUUGGUACUCUGAUUGACUUACCCCAAUGGCAGCCAGCAGUGAUAAAGCCACUUUUCUCACAAGGGUACUAUAAUAGCUAAUGCUUUCUGAAGUGUUUAGAUAUGAUAAAGGUAAGGAGUAGCAAAGAAAAUAGAUGCUUGCUGGUUUGAAAUGUGUAGUGUGCAGUCUGUGCUUAUUUAGCUGUGGUAAAUGAGCUGCAGCAUAUAAUAGAGAAGACUGGAGACUAGAUCUCUUUCAUUAUUAAAGUUAUGUGUUUCUGGCUUUUUCCCCCAUCUUUCUAAUAUGCUGUUGUUAUGGCAACAGUGUUUCUAUCAAGAGAUUCAUAUGAACUACUAAACCCUUCUUGCACUUUUACCUGUUUUGGCAAUCUCAAGGUACUUAAAUGCGUAUGUUCCUGAGUUUGUUUUUUCAAACCAGAGGGAAUUUCAUCAUAGAUUUUGAGCAGAACUUUGCCUACUCAGAGAGGGCUUUGACAAAAUCAUUAUUUUUACUGUUAAGUACUGUUUUUUUGGCAUAACUUAUAACAAAAUGGAAUUUCAUCUUUCUUCUUUUAUAUCCUAGGGUCGGACAAAGACACUUCCACAGCAGCCUCCUUGCAACUUUUGAUUGCCAUGGAUAAGUGGAACUGGUAUCGAGUUCAUGUGUAACUCACUGCCAAGGGCUGUAUUUCCAUUUCCUUCUGCACACUGAAUUUGUGCUCCUGCAUUCCUCUAACAAGAGCCUCUGAAGGGAGGAGAUGCUUUGCUUCAUGUCACAGGACGCGCAGCCACACACACACAGAUGAUUACUGUUGCAGCAAGGAAAGAAGCGACAUCUGCUUUCUCUGCUUCAGAAACAGGCAUGUCCUGACCCACCAGCUGAGAGAAACCAGAAGAAAAAUAAAGCAAAAGGGAGGCCUUGCCGCCUCAGGCUCCCCAAAUACAGUCGCAGUAUUGAUGCUAAGGGAGCCUCGGCAGAGCAAGCAUGAGUCUCUUCGUUUCCAGGUAAGCCGAAGUGAGCUGUGCUCUGUGAUUCGUGGUGGGGUAGUGCGGUCCUGCUGGAGCUCGCAGGCCUACCCUCACCUCCCCAGAGCCAGCCUGGGAUGCGAAGCCUGCCAUGGGAGGUGAGACGGUGGGGGCAUUCCCUCACAGCACAAACAACUUUGGUCCAAGGCAGUAAAAAAAGGAUGGAGAGGGUAGAGGAGAAGCGAGGGUUUGCACACAGCAGUGUCUCUCACAAAGUGUUAGGGAGGGUCGGUGUGUGUGACGGUAGCAGUUGUUUUAAGCUAAACAACAAAGAAUUUCUGUUCUUUUAAUCACAAAUCCAAGCAUAUGAAUGUUUACAGUGUAUUCUAAUGAUGCCUGUCACUUUGCACAAGCCAUGUGCUUUAUGCUGUGAUAAGACCUGUGCUGUCUUGGUUUGAACUGUUUAAUGCAAUAUAAUGCAAUAUAAAGAAAGGUUUGGGUUUUGUAUUAGUUUUACCCAAGAAUUUUCUGAGCAGAACUGACAAAAUGCACUAAGCUUAAGCAUUCAUACUGUAAACGUUCCAUGUAAAGCAUGUAGAGAGUGCUUUUCAGGAGGCCGCAUGGGUGAUCAGCUCCUUUCUAACAAAAACAGUCCGUGAGCCGAAGUCAUCAAUCCAGAGAAAGCUGAAAUCUGAGAGCCAUGAUGCUAACGGGUCAUAUCCACAAAAUGCAUGCCUUAAUGUGCUUCCAUCUAUCAUCUGCAUGAUGAAAAGGUUGUAAAUAAAGCAGUGCCCCUCCACCA
rnacentral:lncRNA from 1 species